rnacentral:rRNA from 1 species
UACGUAGGGCGCAAGCGUUGUCCGGAAUUAUUGGGCGUAAAGAGCGUGUAGGCGGUUCGGUAAGUCUGUCGUGAAAUCCUGAGGCUCAACCUCGGGCGUGCGAUGGAUACUGCCGGGCUAGAGGGUGGUAGAGGCGAGUGGAAUUCCCGGUGUAGCGGUGAAAUGCGCAGAUAUCGGGAGGAACACCAGUAGCGAAGGCGGCUCGCUGGGCCACACCUGACGCUGAGACGCGAAAGCGUGGGGAGCGAACAGG